rnacentral:rRNA from 1 species
GCGUAAUAGCUCACUGGUCGAGUCGGCCUGCGCGGAAGAUGUAACGGGGCUAAACCAUGCACCGAAGCUGCGGCAGCGACGUUUAUGCGUUGUUGGGUAGGGGAGCGUUCUGUAAGCCUGCGAAGGUGGCCUGUGAGGGUUGCUGGAGGUAUCAGAAGUGCGAAUGCUGACAUAAGUAACGAUAAAGCGGGUGAAAAGCCCGCUCGCCGGAAGACCAAGGGUUCCUGUCCAACGUUAAUCGGGGCAGGGUGAGUCGACCCCUAAGGCGAGGCCGAAAGGCGUAGUCGAUGGGAAACGGGUUAAUAUUCCCGUACUUGGUGUUACUGCGAAGGGGGGACGGAGAAGGCUAUGUUGGCCGGGCGACGGUUGUCCCGGUUUAAGCGUGUAGGUGUGUGUUCCAGGUAAAUCCGGUUCACUUUAACACUGAGGCGUGAUGACGAGGCACUACGGUGCUGAAGCAACAAAUGCCCUGCUUCCAGGAAAAGCCUCUAAGCAUCAGGUAACACGAAAUCGUACCCCAAACCGACACAGGUGGUCAGGUAGAGAAUACCAAGGCGCUUGAGAGAACUCGGGUGAAGGAACUAGGCAAAAUGGUGCCGUAACUUCGGGAGAAGGCACGCUGACACGUAGGUGAAGUGAUUUACUCAUGGAGCUGAAGUCAGUCGAAGAUACCAGCUGGCUGCAACUGUUUAUUAAAAACACAGCACUGUGCAAACACGAAAGUGGACGUAUACGGUGUGACGCCUGCCCGGUGCCGGAAGGUUAAUUGAUGGGGUCAGCGCAAGCGAAGCUCCUGAUCGAAGCCCCGGUAAACGGCGGCCGUAACUAUAACGGUCCUAAGGUAGCGAAAUUCCUUGUCGGGUAAGUUCCGACCUGCACGAAUGGCGUAAUGAUGGCCAGGCUGUCUCCACCCGAGACUCAGUGAAAUUGAACUCGCUGUGAAGAUGCAGUGUACCCGCGGCAAGACGGAAAGACCCCGUGAACCUUUACUAUAGCUUGACACUGAACAUUGAGCCUUGAUGUGUAGGAUAGGUGGGAGGCUUUGAAGUGUGGACGCCAGUCUGCAUGGAGCCGACCUUGAAAUACCACCCUUUAAUGUUUGAUGUUCUAACGUGGACCCGUUACCCGGGUUGCGGACAGUGUCUGGUGGGUAGUUUGACUGGGGCGGUCUCCUCCUAAAGAGUAACGGAGGAGCACGAAGGUUGGCUAAUCCUGGUCGGACAUCAGGAGGUUAGUGCAAUGGCAUAAGCCAGCUUGACUGCGAGCGUGACGGCGCGAGCAGGUGCGAAAGCAGGUCAUAGUGAUCCGGUGGUUCUGAAUGGAAGGGCCAUCGCUCAACGGAUAAAAGGUACUCCGGGGAUAACAGGCUGAUACCGCCCAAGAGUUCAUAUCGACGGCGGUGUUUGGCACCUCGAUGUCGGCUCAUCACAUCCUGGGGCUGAAGUAGGUCCCAAGGGUAUGGCUGUUCGCCAUUUAAAGUGGUACGCGAGCUGGGUUUAGAACGUCGUGAGACAGUUCGGUCCCUAUCUGCCGUGGGCGCUGGAGAACUGAGGGGGGCUGCUCCUAGUACGAGAGGACCGGAGUGGACGCAUCACUGGUGUUCGGGUUGUCAUGCCAAUGGCACUGCCCGGUAGCUAAAUGCGGAAGAGAUAAGUGCUGAAAGCAUCUAAGCACGAAACUUGCCCCGAGAUGAGUUCUCCCUGAGACUUAGAGUCUCCUGAAGGAACGUUGAAGACGACGACGUUGAUAGGCCGGGUGUGUACC